rnacentral:rRNA from 1 species
GACGAACGCUGGCGGCGUGCUUAUCACAUGCAAGUCGAACGGUAAGGCCUUUCGGGGUACACGAGUGGCGAACGGGUGAGUAACACGUGGGUGAUCUGCCCUGCACUUCGGGAUAAGCUUGGGAAACUGGGUCUAAUACCGGAUAGGACCACGGUCUGCAUGGAUUGUGGUGGAAAGCUUUUGCGGUGUGGGAUGGGCCCGCGGCCUAUCAGCUUGUUGGUGGGGUGAUGGCCUACCAAGGCGACGACGGGUAGCCGGCCUGAGAGGGUGUCCGGCCACACUGGGACUGAGAUACGGCCCAGACUCCUACGGGAGGCAGCAGUGGGGAAUAUUGCACAAUGGGCGCAAGCCUGAUGCAGCGACGCCGCGUGGGGGAUGACGGCCUUCGGUUGGUAAACCUCUUUCUAGCAGGGACGAAGGGU